GAUGAACGCUAGCUACAGGCUUAACACAUGCAAGUCGCGGGGCAGCAUGGGGGUUGCUUGCAAUCCCCGAUGGCGACCGGCGCACGGGUGAGUAACGCGUAUCCAACCUGCCCUUCACCACGGGAUAACCCGGCGAAAGUCGGACUAAUACCGUAUGUUGUCCAUUGACGGCAUCCGAUUUGGACGAAAGGUUUGGCGGUGAAGGAUGGGGAUGCGUCCGAUUAGCUGGACGGCGGGGUGACGGCCCACCGUGGCGGCGAUCGGUAGGGGUUAUGAGAGGAAGGUCCCCCACACUGGAACUGAGACACGGUCCAGACUGCUACGGGAGGCAGCAGUGAGGAAUAUUGGUCAAUGGGCGUAAGCCUGAACCAGCCAAGUAGCGUGCAGGAUGACGGCCCUAUGGGUUGUAAACUGCUUUUAUGCGGGGAUAAAGUGGCCCACGUGUGGGUUUUUGCAGGUACCGCAUGAAUAAGGACCGGCUAAUUCCGUG
rnacentral:rRNA from 1 species